GCGCUCUGGCAGCACAGACGCUAAAACUGGAAUAAUACAGAGAAGAUUCGCACGGCUCCUGCGCAAGGAUGAUGAGCAAGUUGUGAAGCGUUCCAUAUUUUU